GAAUUCUGAACUUAUAAUGUUGAUUCUCCUCUAAUCCAAUAUAAUACCACUUGGUAAUUGUAUAGAGCUUGCACGUACUAUUGCAUUUGGUCCUUACAACCUGGCAAAAUAAAGCAGACCGUUUGUUGUAAUCCCCGUUUUGCAGACUUCUGAGAAGCAGAGUCUCAGAAACCCACACAAAAUCAUGUAGCUAAGUGGAAUGGUUCAGGCCGAGACCGAACAGACUUUCUGCCGCACCAGAAAGGAGACUUCUUCUCCAGAAGAACUGCAACAUCCUUGGAGAGACACCGAGAAAGAUCUGGUACACGUUCUUCUGACAUCUGGCAUAGAAAACAAUUAUACCUUUAUAUUACACAAGAAAAUAGCCGUGUCUUCGCUCUGUCUUUGGCUGACAGCUGAGGCGUGGACGUUUUAGUCAUUUUCCCCUCAUUGUAAAAAUAAAAGUUCUGUGAGAGAUCCAGGAUGCCCCCAGGAAGCUGAAGUCUUAUGAUUCUCUCCUUUGUCUCCAUAAAUGGAUCCAUUUAACCCUCCUCUAUGUUGGGUUUCAGAAGCCUUUCAUUUUAUCUGGAAGCACUGUGUUUUUCUGAGAAAAAGGAGUGAUCCCUUUACUGAA